UCUGCAUCAUUUGAGUCCACCAUGCAAUU
rnacentral:piRNA from 1 species